UGGGCUCGGUCCGGCAGCCCCGGCUGGCUGCCCGUGUGCGAGGGGCUCCGGCCUGCGAACGGCGCGCAGAGGAAAUAAAAAAUAAAAACUCGCGACAGCAGAAAAAGCCUUGCGGGAGCCCGGCAGGAGGGGGAUGUCUGCCUCGGCGGUACCCCCAGUUUGUUUUCUUAGUGGCUCUUUGAUGUCUUUUUCAGCGUGUCAGCUGCCGGGUGAACUCUUGUGUUCCCACACACACAAAGCCGGCUGAACAUCCCAGCCAACAUCAACACUCCCCCCCAAAGCAGAUUUGGCAUCAUCGUGAGCGCUGGAAUAAAUUUCUCGACUGUUUGAUAGGGUGCUGGCGUGCUCACAGACAGCUCAGCAAAACAAGACUGGGGACAUCCCUGAGUUCUCAAAAACACCGUGUCUGUACAGCAAAACGUUGCUUUAUCAGACGCAUAAAUUCCAAACGUGUGUUCCUCUAAGUCCUGAGCUUGGCAGUCUUCCUGAUGCAGACAAGAGAUGCUUUAUAAGUCAUCACAAGAGGCCUUCACAAGAAGAACAGUGAUGUUUAUUUUGGGGAAUUCUAAUUCCUCAGCUUUGGUCUUUUUUUUGUCAAAUAAUUUGAAAUAUGAAGAACUGGGGUGGGAUAAAUGAGAACACGUGGACCUGUAGUUACUCUGAGUCUCUGCAACCCAUCUGCCAUUUGCUUUGUGCCAUCACAGAAACUCAUAACACAGUGUUCCAGCACUCCUGCAGCUGUCUCCUCAGCAACUCCUGUGUUGUCAUCUGAUUCAACACAUGCUCAAGGAACACUUACAAAGGGAGUUGAGUCAUCUCCUAAAUCUGGACCAUCAUCCUCUGAACACAAAAACCUUCCUCUGCAGGACUUAAGGUAAGUCAUGUGCAUUGACAUCCCUAAGAAAUUUAAAGUUACACAGAAGAAAAUGAAACAACAUAUUGAUGGAUGAGAUAGGCAUGAUGGUUUCUCCAUGAUGUUAUUGCAUGUUGAUAAAGGGACAGCACUGUGAAAUAUGAGAUGCAAGUGUCCUCAAAAUAUUACCCUGGUUUUACAAGGAGUUGCACAAGAAGCCAUUCCUUUUCUGCAAAAGGAAGGCUUGAUUAUUCAUAACUGUGAAAACAAAAAGCAACACUGCCAGCAACAGAAAAAUAACUGUCAUAUGUUUCCUGGUUAAUUUCCUUUCUAUUCCAUAAGUAUAGAUAUUACUAUUAAUGAAAAAGAAAAAGCAAACUAUUAUCUCUUGUCUCUGUUUUUCAUAAAUCUAGACAUGUUUUGCAAAUUUAGCUUAAAACAGUCAAACAUCUUGCCCUAUUUUUUUCAUUUUUAGAAUAAACUGAAGUAUUUCAGCUUUUG
rnacentral:lncRNA from 12 species